rnacentral:rRNA from 1 species
CCUGCGGAGGGAUCAUUACACAAAUAUGAAGGCGGGCUGGAACCUCUCGGGGUUACAGCCUUGCUGAAUUAUUCACCCUUGUCUUUUGCGUACUUCUUGUUUCCUUGGUGGGUUCGCCCACCACUAGGACAAACAUAAACCUUUUGUAAUUGCAAUCAGCGUCAGUAACAAAUUAAUAAUUACAACUUUCAACAACGGAUCUCUUGGUUCUGGCAUCGAUGAAGAACGCAGCGAAAUGCGAUAAGUAGUGUGAAUUGCAGAAUUCAGUGAAUCAUCGAAUCUUUGAACGCACAUUGCGCCCUUUGGUAUUCCAAAGGGCAUGCCUGUUCGAGCGUCAUUUGUACCCUCAAGCUUUGCUUGGUGUUGGGCGUCUUGUCUCUAGCUUUGCUGGAGACUCGCCUUAAAGUAAUUGGCAGCCGGCCUACUGGUUUCGGAGCGCAGCACAAGUCGCACUCUCUAUCAGCAAAGGUCUAGCAUCCAUUAAGCCUUUUUUCAACUUUUGACCUCGGAUCAGGUAGGGAUACCCGCUGAACUUAAGCAUAUCAAUAAGCGGAGGAA